GACGAACGCUGGCGGCGCGCUUAACACAUGCAAGUCGAACGGAAAGGCCUGCUUUCCCUUGUGUAUUGCUGGUACUCGGGUGGCUAACGGGUGAGUAACACGUGAGUGAUCUGCCCCCAACUUGGUUAUAAGCCCGGGAAACUGUGUCUAAUUCCCGUUAGGACUGCAUGGUUGUGCCUGUGGUGGAAAACGUUUUUCUAGUGGUUGGGGAUGAGCUCGCGGCCUAUCAGCUUGUUGGUGUGGUGAUGGCCUACCAAGGCGGCGACGGGUAGCCGGACGGAGAGGGUGGACGGUCGAAUUGGGACAGGGAUACGGCCCAGACGGAGACGAGAGGAAGGAGUGGGGAAUAAAGGAGAAAGAGCGGAAGCCUGAAGCGGCGAGGCCGCGAGGAGGGUGUCGGGCUUGGAAUGGUAAACUCCUUUCGAACGAGAGGAGGCCACGUAGUUGGAAGGGUGGUGACGGUAGUGAUAGAAGAAGCACCGGCUAACUACGUG
rnacentral:rRNA from 1 species